rnacentral:rRNA from 1 species
CAGCAGCCGCGGGAAUACGUAGGUGGCAAGCGUUGUCCGGAAUUAUUGGGCGUAAAGGGCUCGCAGGCGGUUUCUUAAGUCUGAUGUGAAAGCCCCCGGCUCAACCGGGGAGGGUCAUUGGAAACUGGGAAACUUGAGUGCAGAAGAGGAGAGUGGAAUUCCACGUGUAGCGGUGAAAUGCGUAGAGAUGUGGAGGAACACCAGUGGCGAAGGCGACUCUCUGGUCUGUAACUGACGCUGAGGAGCGGAAGCGUGGGGAGCGAACAGGAUUAGAUACCCCCGUAGUCCCUGUCUCUUAUAC